UGAAGACCCAUUGGUAUGAGUUGUACAUCUGUAGAUCCUCUUUUAUAAGCUCAAUGGACCAUUUCCAGUUUAUAUUAUUCUCCACUUUCACUAAAACAAAUGCAAAAGGAAACAUGCAAUCAUUAGGAUCAAUUCCUAUAGCUACCAAUAAUUGUCCUCCAUAAGUUCCUUUUAAGAAGCAUCCAUUUAAACACAUUAAUGACUUGCAUUCUUUUCUGAAACCUUCUUUCAAUCUACUAUAACAGACAGACAUUCCCUCCCCCUUUAGUUCUUUGAACUCCACAGUUGUAUCAGGAUUAGUUUUCAUCAGUUAAUGCUUAUAAUCAUAUAGAUUUGAAAACUGUAAGUCCUCAUCACAAUUUACUGUAUUCAACGAAUAAUCCCUUACCCUCCAAGUCUUCAUCCUAUC
rnacentral:lncRNA from 1 species